rnacentral:rRNA from 1 species
GACGGACGCUGGCGGCGCGCUUUAUACAUGCAAGUCGAACGUGAAGCUCGGAGCUUGCUCCGGGUGGAAAGUGGCGAACGGGUGAGUAUCACGUGAGAAACCUGCCCCGAAGACCGGGAUAACACCGGGAAACCGGUGCUAAUACCGGAUGCCCUCACCGGAUCGCAUGGUCUGGUGAGGAAAUGGAUUCCGCUUCGGGAUGGUCUCGCGGCCUAUCAGCUUGUUGGUGGGGUAAUGGCCCACCAAGGCUUCGACGGGUAGCUGGUCUGAGAGGAUGUCCAGCCACACUGGGACUGAGACACGGCCCAGACUCCUACGGGAGGCAGCAGUAGGGAAUCUUGCACAAUGGACGAAAGUCUGAUGCAGCGACGCCGCGUGUGGGAUGACUGCCCUC